CUUGAGUUAUAAAUAUAAGAGGUCCCGCCUGCCCAGUGAUUAAAUUUAACGGCCGCGGUAUCCUAACCGUGCGAAGGUAGCGUAAUCACUUGUUCUUUAAAUGAGGACUAGUAUGAAUGGCACCACGAAGGUUUUACUGUCUCCUUUUCCUAAUCAGUGAAACUAAUCUUCCCGUGAAGAAGCGGGAAUAAACGAAUAAGACGAGAAGACCCUAUGGAGCUUUAAACAUGAUAACAAGUACUACUCUAAACAAAAAUUUCUUAAUGACUUACCCCCUGGUACCAUGAUUAUUAGUUUUAGGUUGGGGUGACCGCGGAGAAAAACACAACCUCCACAUUGAAUGAUAAAAUUCUAAGCAAAGAAUUACAUUUCCACGCAUCAAUACAUUGACAUCAAUUGACCCAAUUAUUUUGACCAACGAAC
rnacentral:rRNA from 1 species